AUAGGUUUUUCUAAUGGAGCAGAAUACUGUGUUCUGGACACGAUUUCUCACAAUACUUUACUCGAUUGCAGAAGUGAAGAAUGGAGUGUGGCAUUUUAUUAUUCAAAGGCAAAGACUGCACACACCUAUGGUAUUAGAAUGCAGAGAGGGUUAGUAUUUAGCAUUGUGGGCAAAAUAAGCAGCUUGAGAUGUUAGCUUGCACCCUCUUGUCCUCACAUGAUUUGACCCUUAUAUAGCACUGCACGCACUUUACCCAGAAAUUCUUUGUAUUUCAAGUUGUUUUAUCCAUUUUUGGAUGUUGUGAGUUUAUUAGAUGCAGGACAAUUUUAAAACUGAAAUAACCAGUAUUAUCACUUUUAUAGGGUGUUGGCUGUUUAGUAUCAACCCACUGUUUAUAAUUGCUACACAUUUGUCUUGCCCACUCAGACCUGAAACUGCUGAUGUGCUAACCGGGGUGGAUCUCCGGGUAUUCUGUAACAAAGAAGAACUUUAACAAUCAUACAGGU